UCUCCGUUGGUGAACCAGCGGAGGGAUCAUUACCGAGUUUACAACUCCCAAACCCAAUGUGAACGUUACCAAACUGUUGCCUCGGCGGGAUCUCUGCCCCGGGUGCGUCGCAGCCCCGGACCAAGGCGCCCGCCGGAGGACCAACCAAAACUCUUAUUGUAUACCCCCCCGCGGGUUUUUUUUUAUAAUCUGAGCCUUCUCGGCGCCUCUCGUAGGCGUUUCGAAAAUGAAUCAAAACUUUCAACAACGGAUCUCUUGGUUCUG
rnacentral:misc_RNA from 1 species